CCUACGGGAGGCUGCAGUGAGGAAUAUUGGUCAAUGGGCGAGAGCCUGAACCAGCCAAGUCGCGUGAGGGAGUACUGCCCUAUGGGUUGUAAACCUCUUUUGUCGGGGAGCAAAAGCCGGACGUGUCCGGCUGUGAGAGUACCCGAAGAAAAAGCAUCGGCUAACUCCGUGCCAGCAGCCGCGGUAAUACGGAGGAUGCGAGCGUUAUCCGGAUUUAUUGGGGUUAAAGGGUGCGCAGGCGGAUUUUUAAGUCAGCGGUCAAAUCGUGGGGCUCAACCCCAUCCAGCCGUUGAAACUGGGGAUCUAGAGUGUGCGAGAGGUAUGCGGAAGGCGUGGUGUAGCGGUGAAAUGCAUAGAUAUCACGCAGAACCCCGAUUGCGAAGGCAGCAUACCGGUGCACAACUGACGCUCAGGCACGAAAGCGUGGGUAUCGAACAGGAUUAGAUACCCGUGUAGUC
rnacentral:rRNA from 1 species